GUUUGCUCUUCGCUCCUUUAUCGAGACCCUAACACUCGUUCUCCUCUCAACCAGCCGUUACAACAUCUCACUCUGCUUCAAAACCCAAAAUCAUUGGAUUAAGAUUUUUCAGUUCGAGAUUGCUCCAACCUGCUACAAAUGGAAACACCGGCGGCGACGACGGUGACGACAACUGUCUUCCCAUCAUCGGCCGAUCCAUUUAAGCCGUCGAUUUUCCUCGGAGGGUCCAUCGAAUUGGCAUUCCGUUCCAAUUUUCAGAUCUCCAGUAAGAAUCAUGAAUGCACUCAUUAUUACUUCCCUACUUGCAAAGCAAAGUUUGAUUUUGAGUUAUCUGAUUCAGAAAAAUCACAGCCGAAAGUCAAGUUGACUUGUCUGGAAGGAGAGAGUCCCCAGAGGAAUUCACUUACAAGGAUGUUGAUUUUCCAAAGUCAGUGGAUUGGAGAAAGAAAGGUGUUGUAACCCAAGUUAUGAAUCAAGGUUCAUGUGGUAGUUGCUGGGCAUUUUCCACUGUUGCAGCUGUUGAGGGAAUAAAGAUGGAAUAUAUAUUGACUGUGACAGAACUUACAACAAUGGUUGCAAUGGGGGUCUCAUGGACUAUGCAUUCUCCUUUAUAGCAGAAAGUGGUGGAAUCCAUAAAGAGGACGAUUAUCCUUACAUUAUGGAGGAAGGUACUUGCGAGAUGAGAAAGGCUUGGAAGCAAAGCUUACAGAGCCUUCUAUCUCGAAAACAUGAUUCCGAUAUUGGGUUCCAUGGAAGAUGGAGAGAUAAGCAUAUCUGCUUAUGACACAGUUUAGGGAUAAAAUCUCUGAAGCAGAAGGCAUUGUCUAAUGUGACAGGUAUAUUGAAUAAACUAUUAUAGUUAACAAAGGUAAAGGUGCAUUGUAGGUGGUGGAAAAUAUUAAUAAAGUAGUGUUGACGUUUCUUAUCUUUUUUGUGAGACACGAGUGGAAGAAGUUAAUGCAGAUAGUAGGACAAGCAAAGUAGUAGUGUUAAAGAAGCGCAGGCUUGACGAGUAACCAUCUAAACACCAAAUACCAUGCUUUGGUUUCCAUUCUUUGUCAUUGGUUCAAAUGGAAAUUCAAUUGCCUUGUUCCAAGUGCUGUUUGAUUAUGAGAUUUACCAAAGUCAAUUCAUUAAUAAUUAUAACAAAUCUAUUUGCUCACAUUUGAAUCUGAUGUCAGUUUGAGUUACUUUCAAAAGUAAGUCACGUUGUAUUAAAUGAA